AGAGUUUGAUCCUGGCUCAGAUUGAACGCUGGCGGCAUGCUUUACACAUGCAAGUCGAACGGUAACAGGUCUUCGGAUGCUGACGAGUGGCGAACGGGUGAGUAAUACAUCGGAACGUGCCUAGUAGUGGGGGAUAACUACUCGAAAGAGUAGCUAAUACCGCAUGAGAUCUACGGAUGAAAGCAGGGGACCUUCGGGCCUUGUGCUACUAGAGCGGCUGAUGGCAGAUUAGGUAGUUGGUGGGGUAAAGGCUUACCAAGCCUGCGAUCUGUAGCUGGUCUGAGAGGACGACCAGCCACACUGGGACUGAGACACGGCCCAGACUCCUACGGGAGGCAGCAGUGGGGAAUUUUGGACAAUGGGCGAAAGCCUGAUCCAGCAAUGCCGCGUGCAGGAUGAAGGCCCUCGGGUUGUAAACUGCUUUUGUACGGAACGAAAAGCCUGGGGCUAAUAUCCCCGGGUCAUGACGGUACCGUAAGAAUAAGCACCGGCUAACUACGUGCCAGCAGCCGCGGUAAUACGUAGGGUGCAAGCGUUAAUCGGAAUUACUGGGCGUAAAGCGUGCGCAGGCGGUUUUGUAAGACAGUGGUGAAAUCCCCGGGCUCAACCUGGGAACUGCCAUCGUGACUGCAAGGCUAGAGUGCGGCAGAGGGGGAUGGAAUUCCGCGUGUAGCAGUGAAAUGCGUAGAUAUGCGGGGGAACACCGAUGGCGAAGGCAAUCCCCUGGGCCUGCACUGACGCUCAUGCACGAAAGCGUGGGG
rnacentral:rRNA from 1 species